AUAUCAAUAAGCGGAGGAAAAGAAACCAACAGGGAUUGCCCCAGUAACGGCGAGUGAAGCGGCAACAGCUCAAAUUUGAAAUCUGGCCCCCAGGGCCCGAGUUGUAAUUUGCAGAGGAUGCUUUUGGCGCGGUGCCUUCCGAGUUCCCUGGAACGGGACGCCAUAGAGGGUGAGAGCCCCGUCUGGUCGGACGCCUAGCCUGUGUAAAGCUCCUUCGACGAGUCGAGUAGUUUGGGAAUGCUGCUCUAAAUGGGAGGUAUAUGUCUUCUAAAGCUAAAUACCGGCCAGAGACCGAUAGCGCACAAGUAGAGUGAUCGAAAGAUGAAAAGCACUUUGAAAAGAGGGUUAAAUAGUACGUGAAAUUGUUGAAAGGGAAGCGCUUGUGACCAGACUUGGGCCCGGUGGAUCAUCCAGCGUUCUCGCUGGUGCACUCCGCCGGGUUCAGGCCAGCAUCAGUUCGCCGCGGGGGAAAAAGGCUUCGGGAACGUGGCUCCUACGGGAGUGUUAUAGCCCGUUGCAUAAUACCCUGGGGCGGACUGAGGUUCGCGCUCCGCAAGGAUGCUGGCGUAAUGGUCAUCAGCGA
rnacentral:rRNA from 2 species